rnacentral:rRNA from 1 species
UACGUAGGGUCCGAGCGUUGUCCGGAAUUACUGGGCGUAAAGAGCUCGUAGGUGGUUUGUCGCGUUGUUCGUGAAAACUCACAGCUUAACUGUGGGCGUGCGGGCGAUACGGGCAGACUGGAGUACUGCAGGGGAGACUGGAAUUCCUGGUGUAGCGGUGGAAUGCGCAGAUAUCAGGAGGAACACCGGUGGCGAAGGCGGGUCUCUGGUCCGAUACUGACGCUGAGGAGCGAAAGCAUGGGUAGCGAACAGG